UACAGAGGGGGCGAGCGUUAUUCGGAAUUAUUGGGCGUAAAGGGCGCGUAGGCGGCCUUUCAAGUGACGGGUGAAAUCCCUGGGCUCAACCCAGGAACUGCGUCCGAUACUGGCAGGCUUGAAUCCGGGAGAGGGAUGCGGAAUUCCAGGUGUAGCGGUGAAAUGCGUAGAUAUCUGGAGGAACACCGGUGGCGAAGGCGGCAUCCUGGACCGGUAUUGACGCUGAGGCGCGAAAGCCAGGGGAGCAAAGCGGG
rnacentral:rRNA from 1 species